UACGGAGGGAGCUAGCGUUGUUCGGAAUUACUGGGCGUAAAGCGCACGUAGGCGGCUUUGUAAGUUAGAGGUGAAAGCCCGGGGCUCAACUCCGGAACUGCCUUUAAGACUGCAUCGCUUGAAUCCGGGAGAGGCGAGUGGAAUUCCGAGUGUAGAGGUGAAAUUCGUAGAUAUUCGGAAGAACACCAGUGGCGAAGGCGGCUCACUGGACCGGUAUUGACGCUGAGGUGCGAAAGCGUGGGGAGCAAACAGG
rnacentral:rRNA from 1 species